rnacentral:tRNA from 1 species
GCUCCAGUGGUGCAAUUGGUUCGCAUGCGGUACUUAUAUGGCAGUACAUGUGAAGCAAUACUGAGGCUGUGAGUUUGAGCCUCACCUGGAGCA